rnacentral:rRNA from 1 species
GCAACUCGGCUGCAUGAAGCUGGAAUCGCUAGUAAUCGCAGAUCAGAAUGCUGCGGUGAAUACGUUCCCGGGUCUUGUACACACCGCCCGUCACACCAUGGGAGUUGGAAAUGCCCGAAGUCAGUGACCGAACCGAAAGGAAGGAGCUGCCGAAGGUGGAGCCGAUGACUGGGGUGAAGUCGUAACAAGGUAGC